GGUCAAGUUAUUAAGGGUGCAGGGCGGAUGCCUUGGCACUAGGAGCCGAUGAAGGACGUGAUAAGCUGCGAUAAGCUUCGGGGAGUUGCACGUAAACUUUGAUCCGAAGAUUUCCGAAUGAGGAAACUCACUUAGAGUAAUGUCUAAGUAUCAUUAAGUGAAUACAUAGCUUAAUGAGGGGAACUCAGGGAACUGAAACAUCUAAGUACCUGAAGGAAGAGAAAGAAAUUCGAUUCCGUAAGUAGCGGCGAGCGAACGCGGAUUAGCCCAAACCAAUAAAGUUUUCUUUACUGGGGUUGCGGACAUAUCAUAACGAAGAGGUAUCGUAAUUGAAGAGGUUUGGAAAGACCCACCACAGAAGGUAAUAG
rnacentral:rRNA from 1 species